rnacentral:rRNA from 1 species
GACGAACGCUGGCGGCGUGCUUAACACAUGCAAGUAGAACGAAGUGGCGAACGGGUGAGUAAUACGUGGGUAACCUGCCCUCCUUUUUGGGAUAAGCCUUGGAAACGGGGUCUAAUACCGAAUAAAGGGGGAUGGGCUCGGGGCAUAUCAGCUUGUUGGUGGGGUGAUGGCCUACCAAGGCGGGGACGGGUAGCCGGCUUGAGAGGGUGACCGGCCACAUUGGGACUGGGAGGCGGCCCUUACUCAUACUGGGGGCAGGAGUGAGGAAUAAUGGACAAAGGACCAAAGUCUGAUACAGCAAUUCUGUGUGAACGAUGAAGUGUUUCGGAAUGUAAAGUGCUUUCGGUACCAACAGAAGAAGUGACGGCUAAAUACGUGCCAGCAGCCGCGGUAAUUC